rnacentral:rRNA from 1 species
AACGAACGCUGGCGGCAUGCCUAACACAUGCAAGUCGAACGAGAUCUUCGGGUCUAGUGGCGCACGGGUGCGUAACGCGUGGAAAUCUGCCCUUUGGUUCGGAAUAACAGUUGGAAACGACUGCUAAUACCGGAUGAUGACGAAAGUCCAAAGAUUUAUCGCCAGAGGAUGAACCCGCGUAGGAUUAGCUAGUUGGUGUGGUAAAGGAGCACCAAGGCGACGAUCCUUAGCUGGUCUGAGAGGAUGAUCAGCCACACUGGGACUGAGACACGGCCCAGACUCCUACGGGAGGCAGCAGUGGGGAAUAGUGGACAAUGGACGAAAGCCUGAUCCAUCACUGCCGCGUGAGUGAUGAAGGCCUUAGGGUUGUAAAGCCCUUUUACCCGGGAUGAUAAUGACAGUACCGGGAGAAUAAGCUCCGGCUAACUCCGUGCCAGCAGCCGCCGUAA